rnacentral:rRNA from 1 species
GACGAACACUGGCGGCGUGCCUAACACAUGCAAGUCGAACGAGUGGCGGACGGGUGAGUAAUGUCUGGGAAACUGCCUGAUGGAGGGGGAUAACUACUGGAAACGGUAGCUAAUACCGCAUACCAUCGGAUGUGCCCAGAUGGGAUUAGCUAGUAGGUGGGGUAAAGGCUCACAUAGGCGACGAUCCCUAGCUGGUCUGAGAGGAUGACCAGCCACACUGGAACUGAUACACGGUCCAGACUCAUACGGAAGGCAGCAGUGGGGAAAAUUGAACCAUGGGCGCAAGCCUGAUGCAGACAUGCCGCGUGUAUGAAGAAGGCCUUCGGGUUGUAAAGUACUUUCAGCGGGGAGGCGUUACCCGCAGAAGAAGCACCGGCUAACUCCGUGCCAGCAGCCGCGGUAAUAC